UUGAAGUAUUAUCUUCUUUUUUUUUGUGGUAGUCUGUGACUAGAGUCUAGAGUGAAGCCAUAUAUAUGCACAAUGCCAUUGAAGAUGGAUGAGGGGUGGAAUCAGAUCGAGCUGAACUUACCUGAUCUUACUAGGAGAGCUUAUGGGACUAAUUACGCUGAGACUUUGCGAGUUCAGGUUCAUGCUAACUGCAGUCCUAGAAGGAUAUGCUUUGCUGACCGUCUUUACUCAGACGAAGAGCUCCCUUCGGAGUUCAAGCUCUAUCUCCCUGUGCAGAAAGCAUGAAAAGUUAUUCCGAGUGUUUAUUUCUUGUCAGAUAGACCUAGAGCAUCUACAUUAGGUGAGAGUUAGCAUCCAUGGUAUGUGGAAUUUGCCAUACCUUGAGCAGCUUGUGACUUGAUAACUUAAGUUUUGUUAAGUCUAUGAAAAAGGAUCACGUAUGCUUUAA